UUGCAUCUUAUCCAGACGCCGGUGCUUCCCUUCCAGCCAUGGAGGAGCAGGAGAAGUUGAGGGGCGGGCGGAGCAGGAGAAGUUGAUGGGCGGCACAGCGGAGGAGAAGUUGAGGGGCGGGCGGAGCAGGAGAAGUUGAGGGGCGGCGCGUUGAUGGCGGCAACAGCUUCGGGUGGGCUCAUGGGAGAGCGUGCUGCAGGAAAAAUAGGUCCCCACCGGCGACGAGCUUGCUGGAGCCGUUGAAGGGACCCGCGCGCAUUGGACGGCCUUGAUUUGGCGGCAGAGCUCGAGGGCGUGCCGGCUGCUGCACGUGGCGGAGCUGCUGCUCCUGCUUUUUCGCUUCGUCGGCCGGCCUUCAGUGGCGGCGGCGCUGGCCUUGCUCUGGCGACGGAGCUCGAGGGCGUGCCGGCUGCUGUUCCUGCUGUUCCACCACCGUCGGCUGGCCUUCAGUGGCGGAGGCUCGAGCUCCUGGGCAUGGCCAGCAGCUGCUCCUGUUCUGGGCGCGGCGGCCAGAGCAGCACGCACCAGUUCUUCCUGCAGCCGCGUCGCCACGUUCCUGAAAACCACCGUCCGCCAUGGCCAAUGAACCCAGUGCUCUCGAGCCCCUCGGCUUGCUCCCGCGGCACCAACAUGCUCCUGAUCUAGAAGAAUUGCCGACGCGUCCAGGGUGGGACUGCUCUCCAACAUGGACUCCAGGUCAUUCUUGGACUGAAAGAAUUCCAGAUAGUGGCCAUGGUGGAUGGAUGAUAUGAGGUGAUCUGGGUGCUGCAUUUGAUGGCCAUGAUGUGUUUGCUGCAGGCCAACUCCCUGCUUGUGGCCUCUGAAGGAGACAACUUCCAGUUCUAGUAGACCUAUCCGAUAGAAUUCUCGAAGCUAUUAGCCUGCAAGCUCUCAAUCAGGUAUUGUAUUUGCAACUUAGCGUAUUUUUUACUGAAGUUUGGUGCCUAACUCCCAAACAUCUUUUGUCAAUGGUAAGAAUGUAGAUGUUGAGAACUUGACAUAAAUUUUAUGCUUUCUACAAGAAGAGUGGUAUCAAUAUUAAUAGAGAAGUAGACAUUGUUCGAAUUAUUCUCGAUUAUUUGUGUUAUGUUAAUAGCUGCCUGCUCUGUUCUUAACUGUGUAUCCUUGCUCCUUGGUCCCCUGUCAACUGUACAAAAGGUAAUUUAUCAGAAUCUUACAGCCUUUUAGCUGCACCAGAGCCUAUGAGGUUCCUUAGUUUCACCACUGAACAUGAAGCCACUCAAGUCUGAAGUCUGAAACGAUUGUCGGCGAUCGCAGUAUGAAUUCAGAAUUGAGAAAAUGAUGCACUAUCAAUAAAAUCAUUACAACCAGUGUCGAUUUGAACUGAUGAAUGUGCUUACUUCCAUGGUGCUACAGCAUAUACAAUCCGAAUGAUUUGUAUUCCUUGUGCCAUAAAAAUUCCUGCCGAUGCAACUGUGAGCUCAGGAGCAAUUUGUUUUAUAUUUUUAUAUAGUUGCAAUAAAAUGCUACGGUUGAGCGUUGGCUUUGCAUGUCUAAUUAGCUGGCUGAUGAAUAUUGUUACUCAAUUAAAAUGAUCUGGGAUUUUUUCAUGCCAAUAAAAAUACUGUCUGGAUUGUUUGUGUUUUGCACAGAGUUCAUGUAGCAAGAAAUGUGAUGUCUGAAGGGAUGCACAUGUCUCCUUGGUAAAAAAAAGAGACCGCAAUUAACACAAAUCCAAUGCAUCAAGGUCAGCAGUUCCAUAUUUUUAUGACCGGGAGUGUACCACUUCAUGCAUGCAUUUUAUUUUAUUGUCGAUAACACGCCCGAUGCUUUGCGAAAUGUCUGAAUGAGAAAGAAAGAAAGAAAGAUAGAUAGAUAGAUAGAGAUAGAGACUAUGUAAGUGAUGGAGCAUCAUGUGGUCUUGACGCACGGGCAUUCGUAUCUACUCCUACUUACUUGAAUCUUCUAUUCCCAGUUAAUUAGAAAUUUUUUUAUUUGUGGUCAUCUCCUAAGUACGCAAAUUAUGUUUUGUGUUAAAGAGCGGUACGUUAUGUUUUCAUUUGUGACCUGAAGGUCAGCAACGUAAAGCUUGCAUGCAUCUGAAGGCAUGUUCCAUCCUUGAAUAUAUACUAAUAUAAAGGCAUGUUACAAUUGUGGGUAGGUAGAAAAUUCAUCAUUUUAUACAAGGACUAUGGAGUUAAAUUUUCGUUGGUUGCUUUCGACUUUCACCAUUUGGCCAGCUCUAUCUUUCACACCUCUUCCUCUGUGACAAAGGGAUGAAGCUAUUGGUUUUCAAAUUUGAAAUAAAGGCCUGAAUUUGGCACCAACGCUCCAACGCAAAUUUGAUACAUCAAGCGCUUGAUAUAUGUUUAUAAUCAUUUGCAAGACUGCGUUAAGAAAAUGAUGUGAAAUAUUUAGAUUGGUACGCUGCGAGUGGGCUGGAAUGACAUGUUUCGUCUCUCUAUAUUGUCAUAGUGGUGGAGGUACAUGCAGAUUUGACGCCAUUUUUACAUAUUUGCAUAUCAAUGGUCAAUAUUUUUUUCUGUUUUCCUACUGACAUUUACAUACUACUUUGCGUUUUAAAAGCUACAAACAGUUUUCUCUGUGCAGACCAUGAAGAGAUGCAUCUCAGAGGACAAGCAAUGCCAUGUUUUCAUUGUACUGAAAAUACUUAGUUUCCUGGUCAAUUUUGUUAGUAAUCUAUAUAUAUCUAUAUUUCUUAUUGAUUUUCUCUGUGCAUACCAUAAAGGGAUGCCUCCCGGGACAAGCAUUGUCGUAUUUUUCAUUGUACUAAAAAACAUAAUUUCCUGGUCAUUUUUGUUAUUAAUCUGUACAUAACUAUAUUUAUUAUUACGAGGUGAAAAUAUUCUGAGGAUGCUUUCAGGUACAUAAAGAUAUAUAAUGUAUUCAGCUUCUGCUUACACUUUAGUUCAAUGUGUUCAUUACCUCAUACCACCACCAGUGCCAGUUUUGCUUCUUCCAUUAGUAGCCAUGUAGGGAUUAAUCCCGCCCUGUCAUGUCCUGUCCAAUUACAUAUUUAUGCCUUCUCUUUGGAGUUAGAUUAAUUAGAUAUUGUAUUAUGAGACUAGAGACAUGUUAUUGGUAAU